rnacentral:rRNA from 1 species
UACGUAGGGUGCAAGCGUUGUCCGGAAUUAUUGGGCGUAAAGGGCUCGUAGGCGGUUUGUUGCGUCGGCUGUGAAAUCCCGAGGCUCAACCUCGGGUCUGCAGUCGAUACGAGCAAACUAGAGUGUUGCAGGGGAGACUGGAAUUCCUGGUGUAGCGGUGAAAUGCGCAGAUAUCAGGAGGAACACCGGUGGCGAAGGCGGGUCUCUGGGCAACAACUGACGCUGAGGAGCGAAAGCGUGGGGAGCGAACGGG